rnacentral:rRNA from 1 species
AACGAACGCUGGCGGCAUGCCUAACACAUGCAAGUCGAACGAGACCUUCGGGUCUAGUGGCGCACGGGUGCGUAACGCAUGGGAACCUGCCCUUAGGUUCGGAAUAACUCCCCGAAAGGGGUGCUAAUACCGGAUAAUGUCUUCUGACCAAAGAUUUAUCGCCUUUGGAUGGGCCCGCGUUGGAUUAGCUUGUUGGUAGGGUAAAAGCCUACCAAGGCGACGAUCCAUAGCUGGUAAGAGAGGAUGAUCAGCCACACUGGGACUGAGACACGGCGCAGAAUACUACGGGAGGCAGCAGUGGGGAAUAUUGGAAAAUGGGCGAAAGCCUGAUCAAGCAAUGCCGCGUGAGUGAUGAAGGCCUUAGGGUUGUAAAGCUCUUUUAACCGGGAUGAUAAUGACAGUACCGGGAGAAUAAGCACCGGCUAACUCCGUG